rnacentral:rRNA from 1 species
UACGUAGGGGGCAAGCGUUGUCCGGAAUCAUUGGGCGUAAAGAGCUCGUAGGCGGUCUGUUACGUCUGCUGUGAAAACCCAGGGCUUAACCCUGGGCUCGCAGUGGAUACGGGCAGACUAGAGGCAGGUAGGGGAGAAUGGAAUUCCCGGUGUAGCGGUGAAAUGCAUUGAGAUCGGAAAGAACACCAACGGCGAAAGCACUCUGCUGGGCCGACACUGACACUGAGAGACGAAAGCUAGGGGAGCAAAUGGG